AUUGAACGCUGGCGGCAGGCCUAACACAUGCAAGUCGAGCGGAUGACGGGAGCUUGCUCUUUGAUUCAGCGGCGGACGGGUGAGUAAUGCCUAGGAAUCUGCCUGGUAGUGGGGGGCAACGUUUCGAAAGGAACGCUAAUACCGCAUACGUCCUACGGGAGAAAGCAGGGGACCUUCGGGCCUUGCGCUAUCAGAUGAGCCUAGGUCGGAUUAGCUAGUAGGUGAGGUAAUGGCUCACCUAGGCGACGAUCCGUAACUGGUCUGAGAGGAGGACCAGCCACACUGGAACUGAGACACGGUCCAGACUCCUACGGGAGGCAGCAGUGGGGAAUAUUGGACAAUGGGCGAAAGCCUGAUCCAGCCAUGCCGCGUGUGUGAAGAAGGUCUUCGGAUUGUAAAGCACUUUAAGUUGGGAGGAAGGGCAGUAAGUUAAUACCUUGCUGUUUUGACGUUACCGACAGAAUAAGCACCGGCUAACUCUGUGCCAGCCGCCGCCGUAAGAC
rnacentral:rRNA from 1 species